GACGAACGCUGGCGGCGUGCUUAACACAUGCAAGUCGAACGAUGAAGAAAAGAAUUGAAGCUUCGGCAGAAAUUCAUUUCGGAUUAGUGGCAGACGGGUGAGUAACGCGUGAGCAACCUACCUCUUACAAAGGGAUAGCCUCGGGAAACCGGGAUUAAUACCAUAUAACAUUGCGACGAAGCAUUUCGAUGCAAUCAAAGCUACGGCGGUAAGAGAUGGGCUCGCGUCCCAUUAACCAGAUGGUGAGGUAACGGCUCACCAUAGUAACGAUGGGUAACCGGCCUGAGAGGGUGAACGGUCACACUGGAACUGAGACACGGUCCAGACUCAUACGGGAGGCAGCAGUGGGGAAUAUUGCACAAUGGAGGGAACUCUGAUGCAGCGACGCCGCGUGAGUGAUGAAGGAAUUCGUUUCGUAAAACUCUGUUCUAUGGGAAGAAAAGGACUGUACCAUAGGAGAAAGCUCCGGCUAAAUACGUG
rnacentral:rRNA from 1 species